rnacentral:rRNA from 1 species
UGCCAGCCGCCGCGGUAAUACGGAGGGUCCAAGCGUUAUCCGGAUUUAUUGGGUUUAAAGGGUUCGUAGGCGGAGAGAUAAGUCAGUGGUGAAAGCCUGUGGCUCAACCAUAGAAUUGCCAUUGAUACUGUCUCUCUUGAAUGCACAUGAAGUGGGCGGAAUGUGUCAUGUAGCGGUGAAAUGCUUAGAUAUGACACAGAACACCGAUUGCGAAGGCAGCUCACUAAAGUGUUAUUGACGCUGAGGAACGAAAGCGUGGGGAGCGAACAGGAUUAGAUA